rnacentral:tRNA from 1 species
GCCCAGCUGGCUCAGUUGGUAGAGCGUGUGACUCUCGAUCUCAAGGUUGUAAGUUGGAGUCCCAUGUUGGGUG